rnacentral:rRNA from 1 species
GACGAACCGAGCGAACGUUGUCCGGAAUUAUUGGGCGUAAAGAGCUCGUAGCGGUUUGUCGCGUCUGCCGUGAAAGUCCGGGGCUCAACUCCGGAUCUGCGGUGGGUACGGGGCAGACUGGAGGUAUGCAGGGGAGAACGGAAUCCUGGUGUAGCGGUGAAAUGCGCAGAUAUCAGGAGGAACACCGGUGGCGAAGGCGGUUCUCUGGGCAUUACCUGACGUUGAGGAGCGAAAAGUGUGGGGGAGCGAAACAGG